rnacentral:rRNA from 1 species
AUUGAACGCUGGCGGCAUGCUUUACACAUGCAAGUCGAACGGUAACAGGUUAAGCUGACGAGUGGCGAACGGGUGAGUAAUGCAUCGGAACGUGCCCAGUCGUGGGGGAUAACGCAGCGAAAGCUGUGCUAAUACCGCAUACGAUCUAUGGAUGAAAGCGGGGGACCGUAAGGCCUCGCGCGAUUGGAGCGGCCGAUGUCAGAUUAGCUAGUUGGUGGGGUAAAGGCCCACCAAGGCGACGAUCUGUAGCUGGUCUGAGAGGACGACCAGCCACACUGGAACUGAGACACGGUCCAGACUCCUACGGGAGGCAGCAGUGGGGAAUUUUGGACAAUGGACGCAAGUCUGAUCCAGCCAUUCCGCGUGCAGGAUGAAGGCCCUCGGGUUGUAAACUGCUUUUGUACGGAACGAAAAGGUCUCUAUUAAUACUAGGGGCUCAUGACGGUACCGUAAGAAUAAGCACCGGCUAACUACGUG